UACAGAGGUGCCAAGCGUUAGGCGGAUUCACUGGGCGUAAAGGGUGCGCAGGCGGUUGGGUGUGUCAGAUGUGAAAUCCCGAGGCUUAACCUCGGAACUGCGUCUGAAACUACUCGACUAGAGUACUGGAGAGGGAAACGGAAUUCACGGUGUAGCAGUGAAAUGCGUAGAUAUCGUGAGGAACACCAGAGGCGAAGGCGGUUUCCUGGACAGUUACUGACGCUCAGGCACGAAAGCAUGGGGAGCAAAAGGG
rnacentral:rRNA from 1 species